rnacentral:sRNA from 1 species
GCUUAACUGCUCGUUAAGACUUAUCGUUUACUAAAAAGGCGUGUCCAGGUUUCUGGAUGCCGAGUGGCUUCCUUCCACUCUGUUUGACGCCUCCCUGUUAUUCCUCCGAGCCGCCCCAGGGCGGCUCUUUUUU